CAGGGAGACCAACCAACUCAGCACAGAGAAAGUAUAUGUGUUGAAGUAUGGACAACCCUGGUCGAGCAAGGAUCAAGGUAUUGUCAAGUUAAACUUUCAAACUAGAGGUUAGGUUUUGUUGAUGGGCUAUUAGCUCAGAUGGUUAGAGCGCACCCCUGAUAAGGGUGAGGUCUCUGGUUCAAGUCCAGAAUGGCCCACCUAACCGAAUAAUAAGGGGGUAUAGCUCAGUUGGUAGAGCACUGCCUUUGCAAGGCAGGAGUCAGCGGUUCGAGUCCGCUUACCUCCAGAGAGGAGGAAAUCAAUAGACAUCAGCAACAAGACCUGAAUCAAUCAAGUCAUGCUGCUGGUCAUCUAAAUGUCCAGUAAGAACCUUGAAAACUGCAUAGUAGAAAGUCAAAGUAACUGAACCAGAGGUUAGGUAAAACCUAACAAACAAAGUUCUAGUCAGGUAGAAAGUAAAGUGGUCAAGUUAUCAAGGGCUGACGGU
rnacentral:tRNA from 2 species